GGAGGAAUGUAGCUUCGAUCUCGGUUGAAGUGUGUUAUAGCCUCUGGUAGAUGUGAUGAUCGGGAUUGAGGAUUGCAACGAAUACCUUUUAGGCUACCCGCCUGAUCUCUGAUGGUUGCUAUGGUGCCGAAAGCUUGCUUACGGUUAUCAGAGUUGAUUGUCAAAAGGUUAGAACGGGUUAAAUUCGUUAAGGAUGUUGACGUAAUGGCUUUAAACGA
rnacentral:rRNA from 1 species